UACGUAGGGGGCGAGCGUUGUCCGGAAUUAUUGGGCGUAAAGAGCGUGUAGGCGGUUCGGUAAGUCUGCCGUGAAAACCUGGGGCUCAACCCUGGGCGUGCGGUGGAUACUGCCGGGCUAGAGGGUGGUAGAGGCGAGUGGAAUUCCCGGUGUAGCGGUGAAAUGCGCAGAUAUCGGGAGGAACACCAGUAGCGAAGGCGGCUCGCUGGGCCAUUCCUGA
rnacentral:rRNA from 1 species